GCCCGGAUGGUGGAAUGCAGACACGGCGAGCUUAAACCUCGCUGGCCUCAGGCCGUACCGGUUCGAAUCCGGUUCCGGGCA
rnacentral:tRNA from 1 species